rnacentral:rRNA from 1 species
UACGUAGGGUGCGAGCGUUAAUCGGAAUUACUGGGCGUAAAGCGUGCGCAGGCGGUUUUGUAAGCCAGAUGUGAAAGCCCCGGGCUCAACCUGGGAACAGCGCUUGAGACUGGCACGCUCGAGUGCGGGAGAGGAUGGUGGAAUUCCCAGUGUAGAGGUGAAAUUCGUAGAUAUUGGGAAGAACACCGAUGGCGAAGGCAGCCAUCUGGACCGACACUGACGCUGAGGCGCGAAAGCGUGGGGAGCAAACAGG